ensembl:lincRNA Mir124-2hg Mir124-2 host gene (non-protein coding)
AGAGCGGAGCCUACGGCUGCACUUGAAGGACAUCCGAGAGAAGUUAGGAAGGGUGGGGAGAAACAAUUCUAGAAUGAACCCAUCCUGUGCGACACAAGGACCCCUCGCAUUGAUUCAAAAUCUUUAGAAUACAAGACAGUCAAAUGUUUUUCAGCGAGAAUCUGGGAAAUCCGCAUGCAUACUCCCAAGGGGAAUAUUAGAGGUUUCAUUGACAGCUGUCAGGAGAGCUGUAGUUCCCAUUGGUGCAAACGGUCUAAGAGAUGGCACUCAGAGAGUGCUGGCCUUUUCCAAAUAAAAUUCUGGGUCGAACUGGGAAAACAAAACGGAUGAGAAACCCCAGACCACACUGCAUAAGAAACCUCAAAUGACUCAAUUAUCAGUGAAAAUAGGACCCCCGCCCCAAGCUUUUCACUAUUCUCCCAUUCUUUACCCAGUCUCAUGGUAGCCUUGACUGGAUUUAAAAGGCCAAGGCAAAGUGACAAUACCCAAAUCAGUCAAUAUUGUCCAAUAAGAGGGAAAGGCCAAGCCAGGAACUCUAAGACUUGGUAAAUUAAUGUAUUUGGAAGACCAUGAGGUACUUAGUUAAGGUAGGUUCCAUAACCCGAAAGCCUAAGAAAACCACCGCUGAGAAAGAGCCUUGGUGGAAGUCUUUGUUCUGUGGUGGCCUAUCUGGCCUGGGAACAAAGGAGAGGCUGGAGAAGGAUAACCCAAAGUGGCCGCACCCUCGCCUUGCUGACAGGAUCAUCUUCCUCUUCCUCUUUCUUUUCCUCCUCCAUUACCUCCUCCCCCUCCUCUUGUGGUAAUUCUGCAAACAAGGCAAUAGAAUUAUAGAAUCGCUUCUUCUCUAACCCAGCCCCAUACCCCAGGAUAUUAGUUAACUUACAAAUAAAAACCUUGAAAUACGGAAAGACAGGCUAAACAGUAUUUUGCUGAAACCAUCCACUCUGACAAUCAGCUGAUUUGGCCAGAAACCCGAGUAGUUAACAAAAUGUGCUAGAGAGAGAUUAAAUAGAUUUUUUUUCCUCUUAAAUCACAAUCUUGAAAAGAGAAACACACGGUUUUCAGUUGAGGAUCUUAUCUCAGAUAUGGUCACCAAAGAUACCUCUCAAAGGACCCUAGAGUGUGCCUCAAAAUAUAUUUAAAAGGUUCUGACUGAGGUUGAUUUAGUGACCAGAGCAGGCAGGAGUAGAGAAGCCUGCAACCACUCUCGUGGCUCUCAGCAAGGCUUUCUGUGGGACAGCUUUCCUUACUGAGUUCUGAGGCCAAGGCCCACAGAGUGGCAGGGUGAUGGUGCCCAGGAGCUGGCAGUGAGCCUCGCUCCUCACAGGAGGUACUGCAGUCCUAGGAGGCCUGAAUCCCACAGUGCAGAGAAAACCAUACUGCAGAGCACAGCUCACUAGGGAGGCAGAGUAGCUUACCAAAUCCCAUAUAAUGAAGAUUUGUCUUAGGAGUCCUGGGUCAAAUGUGUCUGAAUUAAUGCAUUCAACAUAUAUUUAAAAUUAUCAGCAUUCUAAUUUAAAUAUUGAGAGUAUUGUAUAUAAAUAGUAAAAUAUUAAUUUCUAUAUUGAGUCAUAUGUGCAAUGGAAAAAGUAAUAGACAAUAGAUUGGUUUGUAUUCAGCCGUGGGUCCAGGAAAGAAAAUGUUCCAUGCUUGAAUUUCUUUGUAGAUUCACAUCAUAAAUACUGUCAAACAUCAGUCAUAGAUAAACUAAACAAAGCUGUAAAGAGACACAGUGACAGUGAUUUUUACCUGGGCAUAGAAAUGGUCCAUAAAUGAACAAUGGCCUAAAAAAUAUGUUUUUAUACUAUUUCUUCUCUUCCACCUGAAUGGUUGAAAUGUAGCCAAUGAUUCAGGAAAAAAUGAGCUCAGAAAUGAUAUUCUUGGGGGUCUAGUUCCUAUUCACUCCAUCCUAAAAAGGUGGCUUUUAGUUUUGUUUUCUGAUUUUAAAACUCUGUAAAUUAGGAUCUUUAUAUCCACAAAUUUUAGGUUUGCAUUUGAUUUUACACAAUCUGGGGGGGGGGGGGANNNNNNNNNNNNNNNNNNNNNNNNNNNNNNAAAAAAAACUCACCAGAAAUGGGAAUGGGUUUGAAGUGCUGAAGGUUGUCAUGGAUGCUCCUCCUUCCAGCAACGACCUAGUUAUUCUGGUGGUCUCUCCUCACAAUCCCCUGAGCUCCUCACAAAGCAAAAAGGGUCUAACAGUCCUGCUACAUCAGUGUAAUUCAUAUUACAUAAUAAAAACACAAUAAUACUCCCCGACCUAAUCCUACUUGUUUACAGCAGUCCUAUACUCUCGCUUCAGAAAUCUUAAUCAGUUAAAAAAUAUAUUUUCUAAAUAAAAAUGAAACAUGUAAUAUGAAAGAAUUUAAAAAGUAAGGGAGCAAGUACAGGACUUAGUCAUCUGGUUGCUAUGAUUAAAUCCAGUGUGGUUAUUGAUUCAUGGUGUUUGUGUACUUUUAAAAUUAAUUAUUUUCAUUUUUUAUAAGUAAUCACCCAACUUAAUGUCCAUUACAAAAUUUUCCUGCUAUGAAAUUCUGUGCUCAGCAGUUUUCCAGCAAAACAACCCAGGUGGACAAUUAGAGAGCUUUGGUGCAGAGGACCAUGCGAGUCCUUUAGCAAUCACAACUUUCAUCUAGUGGUCUGAAAUUAGAGCUUCUCGGGAUAAUUUAGGAACAGCUUGACCGGUUGAGACUCUCAGGGACAACCCUCCUUGGGAAUAGUGUGUUUCUUCCAGGGAGUAAGAUGCUAGCGCAGGGAACCGAGGCAUCUGGUGUCAACAACGCCAGAGCGCCCUCUGCUGCUCCCAACAAAUAGAACACUGGUUUCCGAAGCCAGAUGGUCAAGAGUUUCAAUAAGCCCAGGAAGCAGUAAGCUCUUAGGAUCAUUUAAUCUGUAGAAUUUAAAAGCUUCCAUCUUAUUCUUCGUCCGAAAAGGCUACCCGAUUUUCAUCAGGACCACUCCUGGGAUGGUUACAUUCUGAAGCGAGAGGUCAUUGUUUAAAGCAGAUUGUCGAUUCUAUUGGUUGUAUUUCUGUGUCUUUUUUUUUUUUAAUUUUAUAAAAAAAUAUGGAAUUGUAAAUCUGAGGGCAAAGCCUUUCUAAUAGGCAGCUGAAAAAGAAAUAAGUUUCUUGAGUUUUGCACAUAACUGAAGUCUUAUGAUAGGAAAUAUCUGAAUUAGAAUAAAGAUGCCAAGCUCAAGGUGUUUACUUAUUUUUGAAGGGCACUGAACCAAAAGUAAUGCCUUACAUAAAGAAUGAUUAUGCUGAUUUUGUAUUACUAUUAACGCCAAUUUUCAAAGAUAGACUUUGAAUAAGAAAAUGAUUUAUGUUUGAGGAAGAAGCUGAAAUUUUUGAGUCAUAUUAAUUUAUCCAAAAUUUCACCUCUGAAAUCUUCCUAGUAAGUACUCAAAUGGUAAAGCUACCAGGAAGUAGACGGUUAUAAAUAGAACCAUCAGGGAUGCAGAGACGGAAGCAGUGUGUGCUGUACUCUAAGUGUUAUUUAUGGAGUUUAUGUACGGAAAAAUCUAUAUGAAAUGAAAAAUAGGCAUGUUGAAAAGUUAAAACGUUUUUGAUUUUAUGUUUCAUUAGGCUUAUAUGGAGUAAAAUAAUGUAGAAUGCUGCAUCACCUCAGCGCCGUGAAUUUAGAAGUUCCAGCAUGUUGUGAAGCAGACACAUCUUUGCUAUGAACACUGUGACUCACUACAUCAGUGCUGGUAUAAUAAAAUGCUUCUAAUGAUGUAGCUGUUAAAUUUUCUAAAAUAAAGAUCAGUUUAUUUUGUGAUGGCA